GACGAACGCUGGCGGCUUGCUUAACCCAUGCAAGUCGAACGGAAAGGCCCUGCUUUUGUGGGGUGCUCGAGUGGCGAACGGGUGAGUAACAAGUGAGUAACCUGCCCUUUACUUUUGGAUAACUUCAGGAAACUGGGGCUAAUACCCGAUAGGAGCUCCUGCUGCCUGGUGGGGGUUGUAAAGUUUCGGCGGUUGGGGAUUGACUCGCGGCUUAUCAGCUUGUUGGUGGGGUAGUGGCUUACCAAGGCUUUGACGGGUAGCCGGCCUGAGAGGGUGACCGGCCACAUGGGGACUGAGAUACGGCCCAGACUCCUACGGGAGGCAGCAGGGGGGAAUAUUGCACAAUGGGCGGAAGCCUGAUGCAGCAACGCCGCGUGCGGGAUGACGGCCUUCGGGUUGUAAACAGCUUUCGCCUGUGACGAAGCGUGAGUGACGGUAAUGGGUAAAGAAGCACCGGCUAACUACGUG
rnacentral:rRNA from 1 species